GAAAAAUGGAAGUUGCGAAAUUAAUAGAGUUGGUUAGGGAGAAGGAUUGUUUGUGGGCGGUUGGGGCGGUAGAUUACUGGAACAAAAUUUUGAAGGAAAAAGCGUGGAUAGAGGUUGGCGAGGAAAUGGGAAUGGCAGAAUGGGGGUGAAAGAAUGCAAGACAAGGUGGAGGUCGUUGAAAGAUAGGUUCAGGAGAGAGAAAAGAGAGGCGUUUGAGAGUAGGAGUGGGGCAGGGGGUGGAUGUAAAAAAAUGGGAGUUUAUGGGUAGUUUAGAGUUUUUAAACUCGUACUGCGAAAGCAGGAGAACAUCUAGCAGUGUGCCAGAAGAUCUCACCCUCGUAGUAUAUGAAAACGAGGGUGACAUCCAAGAUCAUAGCCAAGUGCAAGAGGAGCUGGAAGAGUCUUCUUUCAUCUUGGAUAUCGAUCAGGCCAUUUUACGCCUAGUUAAUAAAGGUCAGUAAUGCGUUAACGCAGCAACGCACGAUUAAGUUAAAUAAACAAGGUUUUAAGAUGCG